GGAGGGUAUAGCUCAGUGGUAGAGCACGUGCUUAAUAUGCAUUAGAUCCUGGGUUCAAUCCCCAGUACCUCCA
rnacentral:tRNA from 1 species